rnacentral:rRNA from 1 species
UACAGAGGUCUCAAGCGUUGUUCGGAUUCACUGGGCGUAAAGGGUGCGUAGGCGGCCGGGUAAGUCUGAUGUGAAAUCCCGCAGCUCAACUGCGGAACUGCAUCGGAUACUCUCCGGCUAGAGGAAUGGAGGGGAGACUGGAAUUCUCGGUGUAGCAGUGAAAUGCGUAGAUAUCGAGAGGAACACCAGUGGCGAAGGCGAGUCUCUGGACAUUUCCUAACGCUGAGGCACGAAAGCCAGGGGAGCAAACGGG